CUACCUGAUGACCGAUAGUGAAGCAGUACCGUGAGGGAAAGGUGAAAAGAACCCCGGGAGGGGAGUGAAAUAGAACCUGAAACCGUGUGCCUACAACCGCUCAGAGCCCCUUAUGAGGGUGAUGAGGUGCUUUUUGUAGAACGAGCCAACGAGUUACGGUAUGUAGCAAGGUUAAGUACUUAAGGUACGGAGCCGAAGGGAAACCGAGUCUGAAUAGGGCGACUAGUUGCAUGCCGUAGACCCGAAACCGGGUGACCUAUCCAUGGCCAGGUUGAAGCGAGGGUAAAACCUCGUGGAGGACCGAACCACGUUGCUGUUGAAAAAGCAUGGGAUGAGCUGUGGAUAGCGGAGAAAUUCCAAUCGAACCCGGAGAUAGCUGGUUCUCUCCGAAAUAGCUUUAGGGCUAGCGUCGAGUAUGAGUAGUGGAGGUAGAGCACUGAAUGGGCUAGGGGGCAUAGCGCUUACCGAACCUUAUCAAACUCCGAAUGCCACAUACUUUGAGCUCGGCAGUCAGACUACGAAUGAUAAGAUCCGUGGUCAAAAGGGAAACAGCCCAGAUCGUCAGCUAAGGUCCCAAAGUGUAAGUUAAGUGGGAAAGGAUGUGAGAUUUCUAAGACAACUAGGAUGUUGGCUUAGAAGCAGCCAUUCAUUAAAAGAGUGCGUAAUAGCUCACUAGUCGAGAGAUCUUGCGCCGAAAAUGUAACGGGGCUAAACUUACCACCGAAGCUACGGGCUUGAACUUAGUUCAAGCGGUAGGAGAGCGUCGUAACCGGGCUGAAGUCGUACCGUAAGGAGCGGUGGACUGGUUACGAGUGAGAAUGUUGGCAUCAGUAGCGAGAUGUGGGUGAGAAUCCCACAGGCCGAAAACCUAAGGUUUCCUCAGGAAGGUUCGUCCGCUGAGGGUUAGUCGGGACCUAAGCCGAGGCCGAAAGGCGUAGGUGAUGGACAACUGGUUGAUAUUCCAGUACCACUACCAUCGUUAUUAUCGAUGGCGUGACGCAGGAGGAUAGUGUGUGCUAGCUAUUGGAUGCUAGUCUAAGCGUUUAGGCAGUGAGAGUAGGCAAAUCCGCUCUCAUAAUGCUGAGGCGUGAUGGGGAAGGUUCUACGGAACCGAAGUACAUGAUUCCACGCUGCCAAGAAAAGCGUCUAGAGAGAGAAGUAGUGCCCGUACCGCAAACCGACACAGGUAGGUGAGGAGAGAAUCCUAAGGCCGGCGGAAGAAUUACAGUUAAGGAACUCGGCAAAUUGACCCCGUAAGUUCGCGAGAAGGGGUGCCUACGAGAGUAGGCCGCAGAGAAUAGGCCCAAGCAACUGUUUAGCAAAAACACAGGUCUCUGCUAAAGCGUAAGCUGAUGUAUAGGGGCUGACGCCUGCCCGGUGCUGG
rnacentral:rRNA from 1 species